GGCUCAGAGCGAACGUUAGCGGCGGGCCUAACACAUGCAAGUCGAACGCGAAAGGUCUUCGGACUGAGUAGAGUGGCGCACGGGUGAGUAACACGUAGGUAAUCUACCCUUUGGCGGGGGAUAACGUUCCGAAAGGAGCGCUAAUACCGCAUAAGACCACGGAGUCUCCGGACGCUGUGGGAAAAGGUGGCCUCUUCUUGAAAGCUACCACCGAAGGAUGAGCCUGCGUCCCAUCAGCUAGUUGGUAAGGUAAUGGCUUACCAAGGCGAAGACGGGUAGCUGGUUUGAGAGAAUGAUCAGCCACACUGGCACUGGAACACGGGCCAGACUCCUACGGGAGGCAGCAGUGAGGAAUAUUGGGCAAUGGGCGAAAGCCUGACCCAGCCACGCCGCGUGAGUGAUGAAGGCCCUCGGGUCGUAAAGCUCUGUGGAGAGGGACGAAAACCCUGGUUUCAAAUAGGCUCCAGGCUUGACGGUACCUCUUUAGCAAGCACCGGCUAACUCUGUG
rnacentral:rRNA from 1 species